rnacentral:rRNA from 1 species
UACGGGGGGGGCAAGCGUUGUUCGGAAUUACUGGGCGUAAAGGGCUCGUAGGCGGCCAACUAAGUCAUACGUGAAAUCCCUCGGCUUAACCGGGGAACUGCGUCUGAUACUGGAUGGCUUGAGUUCGGGAGAGGGAUGCGGAAUUCCAGGUGUAGCGGUGAAAUGCGUAGAUAUUAGGAGGAACACCAGUGGCGAAGGCGGCUUACUGGACUAUAACUGACACUGAGGCUCGAAAGCGUGGGGAGCAAACAGG